rnacentral:rRNA from 1 species
UACGUAGGGGGCGAGCGUUGUCCGGAUUUAUUGGGCGUAAAGAGCUCGUAGGCGGUUUGUCGCGUCUGCUGUGAAAACCUAAGGCUCAACCUUGGGCUUGCAGUGGGUACGGGCAGACUAGAGUGCGGUAGGGGGUGACUGGAAUUCCUGGUGUAGCGGUGGAAUGCGCAGAUAUCAGGAGGAACACCGAUGGCGAAGGCAGGUCACUGGGCCGCAACUGACGCUGAGGAGCGAAAGCAUGGGGGAGCGAACAGG